rnacentral:snRNA from 1 species
UACAGAGAAGAUUAUAAUGGUACCUGCACAAGGAUGACACGCAAAUUAGUGAAUUGUUUCAUAUUUUU